UUGGGCGAAGCAAGCAGCGAGGCGAAUAUCUUGGUGCGAGUCCUGGACGAGAAUGACCACGCCCCUGCCUUCCCGAGGGCGCUGCACGAGACACAGAUCACGGAGGAGGAUGACCGCCACUUGCCCAAGACGAUCCUAACGGUGAAAGCCGUAGACGGCGACGCGGGCGAGUUCGGCAGCCUGCGCUACUCCCUGAGCGGCGACGGCGUCUACCACAACGGGACGCGGUCCUGCUUCGCCGUCGACGAGACCUCCGGCGCCAUCCACCUCCUGCGGCCGUUGGACCGCGACCCCCCUCAUGGCAAAUCCCAGUGGCGUCUACGUGUUGCUGCCUCGGACGGAGAACUCAAAGCCUACACAGCCGUCCACGUUAAUCUCAAAGACAUCAACGACAACGCAC